rnacentral:lncRNA from 1 species
AAUAGGCAGUAGAAAGGUCAUUUUCUGCCACGAGUCAAUAUAGAAUUUAGUUCAGGUAUAAGUAAGAACUGCAAGUUCUAAGGAUAGAUACAAGUUCAGAUAAAAGCAGGAAUUAGACCAAUUUUACGUUUGAAAAUUGGGUUAUUCUUAGAAAUAAGAUAAAUAAUAUUUGGAUCGUUAGAUUGAAACAAGAGGAAUAAGAGUUAUAAUUUGAAAUUAAAAUUAUAUUAUGUAAUUAAUUAACAUCAAAAUAUUACUUAAAAAUAAAAUAAUAAAUUAAUUAUUAAUAAUGAAUUAUAAUAAAAAUAUGUAUUAAUAAUUAUUAAUAAUUAAUUAUAAAUAAUAAAUUAAUAAUANUAAUAAUAUCGCUUAUCUAAUUUUUAUUAAUAAUAAUAUCGAUUAUAUAAUUAAUAAUAAUAAUUAUUGUUAAUAUUUAUUAAUGAAUAAUAUUAAUUAUUAAUAAUUAAUUACUAGUAAUAAAUUAAUAAUAAUUAUUAUUUAAUUAUUAAUAAUUAAUUAUAAAUAAUAAAUUAAUAAUAAUAUCUCUUAUCAAAUUAUUAAGGAUAAUAAUUAUUAAUGAUUAUUAAUAAAUAAUAAUAAUAAUAAUAAUAAUUAAUUAUUAAUAAUUAAUUAUAAAUAAUAAAUUAAUAAUAAUAAUUAUCUAAUUAUUAAUAAUUAAUUAUAAAUAAUAAAUAAAUUAAUUAUUUAAUUAUUAUUGAAAUAAAUAAUAAUUUAAAUAUAUUAAUUAGGUUAAUUAAUAAUUUACUGUCAUUAAAAUUUAAUUUAGAUUUUAAUUAACCUUGUUCUUAUCAAGAAACAAGCUUGUUCCAGAAUAAAUGUGGAACAACAGUUCCAAUCUUAUACCAGUUUGUUCUUAAAAUCCUGGAACUACUGUUCCUGGGUACCAAACAUCACGUUUGGGAACAAAGAGGGGAACAAGGACUUAUUCCCGCCCUUGGUCUCGAACCAAACGCUACCUUAAGAUUUUAA